UACAGAGGUCCCAAGCGUUGUUCGGAUUCAUUGGGCGUAAAGGGUGCGUAGGCGGCGCGGUAAGUCGGGUGUGAAAUCUCGGAGCUUAACUCCGAAACUGCAUUCGAUACUGCCGUGCUUGAGGACUGGAGAGGAGACUGGAAUUUACGGUGUAGCGGUGAAAUGCGCAGAUAUCAGGAGGAACACCCGUGGCGAAAAGCGGCUCUCUGGGGACGGUACUGACGCUGAGACGCGAAAGCGUGGGGAGCAAACAGG
rnacentral:rRNA from 1 species